UACGUAGGGGGCAAGCGUUGUCCGGAUUUAUUGGGCGUAAAGAGCGUGUAGGCGGCUGGGUAGGUCCGUUGUGAAAACUCGAGGCUCAACCUCGAGACGCCGAUGGAAACCCUCCAGCUAGAGUCCGGAAGAGGAGAGUGGAAUUCCUGGUGUAGCGGUGAAAUGCGCAGAUAUCAGGAAGAACACCCGUGGCUAAGGCGGCUCUCUAGUACGGUACUGACGCUGUGACGCGAAAGCGUGGGGAGCGAACAGG
rnacentral:rRNA from 1 species